UACGUAGGGUGCGAGCGUUGUCCGGAAUUAUUGGGCGUAAAGGGCUCGUAGGCGGUCUGUCGCGUCGGGAGUGAAAACUCAGGGCUUAACCCUGAGCCUGCUUCCGAUACGGGCAGACUAGAGGUAUGCAGGGGAGAACGGAAUUCCUGGUGUAGCGGUGGAAUGCGUAGAUAUCGUAAGGAAGACCAGUGGCGAAGGCGGGUCUCUAGUACGGUACUGACGCUGAGACGCGAAAGCGUGGGGAGCGAACAGG
rnacentral:rRNA from 1 species